UUGGGUUCGGAAUAACGUCGGGAAACUGACGCUAAUACCGGAUGAUGACGCAAGUCCAAAGAUUUAUCGCCCAGGGAUGAGCCCGCGUAGGAUUAGCUAGUUGGUGGGGUAAAGGCUCACCAAGGCUACGAUCCUUAGCUGGUCUGAGAGGAUGAUCAGCCACACUGGGACUGAGACACGGCCCAGACUCCUACGGGAGGCAGCAGUAGGGAAUAUUGGACAAUGGGGGCAACCCUGAUCCAGCAAUGCCGCGUGAGUGAUGAAGGCCUUAGGGUUGUAAAGCUCUUUUACCCGAGAUGAUAAUGACAGUAUCGGGAGAAUAAGCUCCGGCUAACUCCGUGCCAGCAGCCGCGGUAAUACGGAGGGAGCUAGCGUUGUUCGGAAUUACUGGGCGUAAAGCGCACGUAGGCGGCGAUUUAAGUCAGAGGUGAAAGCCCGGGGCUCAACCCCGGAACUGCCUUUGAGACUGGAUUGCUAGAAUCUUGGAGAGGCGGGUGGAAUUCCGAGUGUAGAGGUGAAAUUCGUAGAUAUUCGGAAGAACACCAGUGGCGAAG
rnacentral:rRNA from 1 species